CCUACGGUGAGCUGCAGUGGGGAAUAUUGCACAAUGGGGGGAACCCUGAUGCAGCGACGCCGCGUGAGUGAAGAAGUAUUUCGGUAUGUAAAGCUCUGUCAGCAGGGAAGAAGAAAGACGGUACCUGACCAAGAAGCCCCGGCUACCUACGUGCCAGCAGCCGCGGUAAUACGUAGGGGGCAAGCGUUAUCCGGAUUUACUGGGUGUAAAGGGAGCGUAGAAGGCAGGGCAAGUCUGGAGUGAAAGGGAGGGGCCCAACCCCUGGACUGCUCUGGAAAUUGUCCGGCUGGAGGGCAGGAGAGGUAAGUGGAAUUCCUAGUGUAGCGGUGAAAUGCGUAGAUAUUAGGAGGAACACCAGUGGCGAAGGCGGCUUACUGGACUGUAACUGACGUUGAGGCUCGAAAGCGUGGGGAGCAAACAGGAUUAGAUACCCCAGUAGUC
rnacentral:rRNA from 1 species